CGGUUGGCUAGAUAAUCAAAAAACAAUAACCUAAAAUUAUUUUUAAAAGACGGACCAGCGCGCCAAAUGUACAAGUAUACACAUACAUAUAUAAUACCAUGUUGGGGAUGUGAUCUAAUGCGUAUUAUAUCGAUAGUAUUUUGAAGUUUUGUCAGGCGCUAUAUCAUGCCAAGUUUUUUAAGAAUAAUGAUGGCCGACCAGCGUCGGUAGCAUCUACUGCUGGAUGCACAGGUAUUCACAGAGCACAAAGAGUACUUGGCUAUAACAAACAUUUUAUUCAACUAUCAUUGUGGUAUCAGAUAUAAACGAACAUUUUUAUCAUCGUUAAAAGUACUAAACCGAAUGGCCUAAGGUACGCGUAUAAGUGUGAGCGUGUGAACUGUGUAUGAAUGUAUGUAUGUGGUUUUCGUCUCAUAUUUCUGCUGCUAUAAGACGUCUUGUGUCAGCAUAAAUGUGACCACCCCUUUUAAAUAAAAUUAUAUCUAGGCGCAUCUUCAUGCGUCAUAGACUUGACACGAAUGCGAUAACAGCAACGUUAAAAAAUAUAAUACAAUAGGGGGCAAUUACAGAAUGAAAAAAAUAAUACAUGUUUUGUAUUUGAUAUCACAUACAGCCCGGGCCAAUCUGUACUGGACAUGUAUCUUAAUUAUAUUAGAUUUCGUACUGUAAACCUUUUUACUUCGCGAACUUCUACGUACAUUGUGAAUAUCGAAUAAUUUUUAAAUGUUGUUGUUUCUCUUUUCUUUUUUUUUACAGAUCUUUCAAAGAGUAAUGGGCAAUGUGAGAUAUCUCAGUCUUAAUGACGGGAUCGAUGAAGCCGUUGUUACAAACCAGAAUGAUUGUGGUGCAGAGGAGUAUGUAGUUGACGAUACAAUAUAUCUGCUGUUGCUGUGUUGUAUUAGGAUGUAGACUGGGAGUUAAUGUAUAGUUCAGAAAUACUGAACUUAUAAAAGUGGACGCAGUUCUUCCAAGGGCAUCAGAACCCCACUUGUAACUCCGUCCAUACUUCCCAAUCCGUUUGUUCCAUGAACUGGUAAGCUGUUCACAGUCAUGCUACGGUCAUCUGUAACGACCUUCUAAUUAAAAAAUUGAUUCGAAUAGUGAUCCAUUAAUUAUUUUACGAAUGAAAGAGAUAACAGGAUUUUUAUAGGUAUUAACGAAAACGAGAAAUUGACUACAUACAUACAUACAUACAUCAUAUAUAUAUAUAUAUACAUACAUAUAUAUAUAUAUGUAUGUAUAUAUAAAUAUAAUUCACAUAUUUAUAUAUACAAAUGAAUUAAAAUGAGAUCUUAUAUAUAACAAAGUAAUUAAUACAAGAUAUCAGUACAUGCAAAAUUGUGAUAAAGUUUUGACAUUGCAUAUAUCAUUUUUUAUGAGUGUUAUUAACAUAGGAAUACUAAUAACAACAAGAUUUUUAGGAAUGUCGUACUUAAAUCUAUAUGUAAUAGAGUAAAUUUACAUUUUAUUACAAUUAUUUCUCAAAGAGUAAGCAUUUUUAUCUUUAAACAUUAUAUUCUUAAAAUAAGAUAAAGUAUAACAACUAUAUUGUAUUCCUAUAUAUUCCAACAUUCCUCUAAAUUGUUAAUAUUGGUAUUCCCAUAACUUCUUUUACUAUUCAUAUACACAUUUUGUUUUCAUCGUAUAAUACAGAUAGAAUGGUGUCUACAAUUUUCCACCUGGAAAUAGUUACGCAAUAUUCAGAAAUAUUACUAUUAAUGUUACAAGAUCAUAUUAAUACAAUGAUAAAGAGAUGUCGUACAAUUUACAUUUAUAUAUAUAUAUUAUACAAUUUAUAAUAAAUAUAUAUAAAUUUUAUACUUUUAUAUAUCUAUAUUUAUUAUUAUUAUAAUAAUUACAAUAAUAAAUAUAAAUAUAUAUAAGAUAUCAAUAAGAUAUAUAAAAGAUUUUAAUUUCUUAAUAAAUAAAAAUAAUUUUAAUUCGACAUUUACCUGGGUUGCUACUCACCUACAGGCAAUGAGCCUGCCAUGGGAGUAGGUGAUGAUGAUACCAUAUUUAAUCGACCCUGUUCUUUUACUAUGGGAU